UUCCGUAGGUGAACCUGCGGAAGGAUCACUUUCACGAUUCAAAUCUAAAACCUGAAUUUUAUGGUGAGGCUCGCAAGGGCCUCGUGGGCGUCGGUCGUCUGGCCGGCGUCAGUUGCUAACCCGUUGUAUAACGUCUCUAGAAUUGUUGAUGUGUUUUUGUGAUUUAUCACAAUUUACUUCACAACUUUUAGCGAUGGAUGCCUCGGCUCGGGUAACGAUGAAGGACGCAGCAAAAUGCGAUAAGCGCCGUGAAUGGCAGAAUUCCGCGAAUCAAAAGAAUGCUGAACGCAUACUGCAGUUUCAGGUUACUCCUGGAACUAUGUCUUCUUGAGGGCGAGAACGAUCAAAUGCCAUCAAAGGGUAAAGCGUCGAAAGGCGAGUUAUUCGGUGAUGUGCGUCGUUGUGUGUCAAUGUCUAGCUUCUAACGAGGCCAUUGACGCAUGAAAUUUCUAAGAUUUGAAAACACAAAAGCAUCCGCUUAGUGAUUUUACAAUGAAUACUAGCGGCAUGUUUAGUGUUUUCAACUUUUUUUUUCCCAAAUUUUUCUGAUUAGUUUCAGAGAUUGUUGCUUUUCGCAUCAAGUGAGACAAGGCUACCCGCUGAAUUUAAGCAUAUCAAUA
rnacentral:rRNA from 1 species